rnacentral:rRNA from 1 species
AACGAACGCUGGCGGCGUGCCUAACACAUGCAAGUCGAGCGAGAAAGUUCCCUUCGGGGAGCGAGUAAAGCGGCGCACGGGUGAGUAACACGUAGGUAACCUGCCCCUAAGUCUGGAACAACUGGAGGAAACUCCAGCUAAUGCCGGAUAAGACCACGAUCCCCUCGGGGAUUGCGGCCAAAGAUGGCCUCUACUUGUAAGCUAUCGCUGAGGGAUGGGCCUGCGGGCCAUUAGCUCGUUGGUGAGGUAACGGCUCACCAAGGCUGUGAUGGCUAGCUGGUCUGAGAGGAUGACCAGCCACACUGGGACUGAGACACGGCCCAG